UACAGAGGAUGCAAGCGUUAUCCGGAAUCAUUGGGCGUAAAGCGUCUGUAGGUGGCUUUUUAAGUCCGCCGUCAAAUCCCAGGGCUCAACUCUGGACAGGCGGUGGAAACUGCCAAGCUGGAGUACGGUAGGGGCAGAGGGAAUUCCCGGUGUAGCGGUGAAAUGCGCAGAUAUCGGGAGGAACACCAAUGGCGAAGGCAGCUCGCUGGGACGGUACUGACGCUGAGGCGCGAAAGCGUGGGGAGCAAACAGG
rnacentral:rRNA from 1 species